rnacentral:misc_RNA from 1 species
ACCUACUGUUUAAUUUUGAGGGUUCGUUUUUACGAAUACUCAAAAUUAACACUUUUAGCAACAGAAUAAACUGAACGCAUGUGAAGUUUGUUUGUUGGCGCUGUGCGUUAACACUUUAAGCAACGGAAUUUAUUCGUUGGCGCCGUGCUUUAGCACUUUGAAAACUGCAUAUAUAUUUAGUGAUAUGACAUCUAAUUUGUAAUAUAUAAAGCUGAUAACUUUUUAAAAUUAUCGAAGUUGAUAGCUUCUAAUCUAUCAAACCUUUUUAACUGGUCAA